AACAUUGUGCCGCGAGUGACACAUGAAUUUGGUCGCGAUUUUUUAACCAAAUCAUAGUUUUGAACCAUAAUUUGUUUUCCCGUCGCAAUAUAUAUAAUAAAAUACGUCUUGCGUAAUAAGUUUAUCGGGAGUGCCGUGUAAUAUUAAAACAAUUAUGCCAAUUAUCGUGUGUGCGAACGUAAUUAAUCGUGAGUGAGUGCCACGAAAAAGUGAGAAAAAAGGACAAACACACGAGGAGGAGGAGGAGACAUCGGCCAACAAUGGAGCAAUUAUAAAAAGUACGACGGUUUCCGCUUAUGGUGCAAAUUGGAUAGAGGCAGUUUAUGAUUGCGACGAAGGAGAGCAGCGGAGAAGGACAGAGGAGGAGAGAGAUCGUGAGAUAGCGGACAGAUCAGGUGUCACAUGAAAGCUGCAACGAUUAGCACUUGAAAAUCGCAACGCAUAUGGACUUGAAAUUGAAAACAACAGGACUUUUGGACUUCUAAGGAUCCAGCUGUAACUACGAGCAAAAAUAAGCAUCAUCGUAUGUCCGACCUCGUUUCUCCAUAUAAAAUUCGUUAUACCUAAUUAAGUGUCAUGGCUGCAGUCUAUCGUUACGUCGUACGUGCGAUUUUGCUCGCGCGCGGUUUUUGAUGAGAAAAAUCCUCUCGAU